AUUGAACGCUGGCGGCAGGCCUAACACAUGCAAGUCGAGCGGAUGACGGGAGCUUGCUCCUUGAUUCAGCGGCGGACGGGUGAGUAAUGCCUAGGAAUCUGCCUGGUAGUGGGGGACGACGUUUCGAAAGGAACGCUAAUACCGCAUACGUCCUACGGGAGAAAGCAGGGGACCUUCGGGCCUUGCGCUAUCAGAUGAGCCUAGGUCGGAUUAGCUAGUUGGUGGGGUAAUGGCUCACCAAGGCGACGAUCCGUAACUGGUCUGAGAGGAUGAUCAGUCACACUGGAACUGAGACACGGUCCAGACUCCUACGGGAGGCAGCAGUGGGGAAUAUUGGACAAUGGGCGAAAACCUGAUCCUGCCAUGCCGCGUGUGUGAAGAAGGUCUUCGGAUUGUAAAGCACUUUAAGUUGGGAGGAAGGGCAGUAAGCUAAUACCUUGCUGUUUUGACGUUACCGACAGAAUAAGCACCGGCUAACUCUGUGCCAGCCGCCGCAGUAA
rnacentral:rRNA from 1 species